UACCAGCACCCCGAGUGGUCGGGACGUUUAUUGGGCCUAAAGCAUCCGUAGCCGGUUCUACAAGGCUCCCGUUAAAUCCACCUGCUUAACAGAUGGGCUGCGGAAGAUACUAUAGAGCUAGGAGGCGGGAGAGGCAAGCGGUACUCGAUGGGUAGGGGUAAAAUCCGUUGAUCCAUUGAAGACCACCAGUGGCGAAGGCGGCUUGCCAGAACGCGCUCGACGGUGAGGGAUGAAAGCUGGGGGAGCAAACCGG
rnacentral:rRNA from 1 species